CAAACCAAGGCCCGUAAAAUUCGCACGACAGAGAAACUAGAAAUCUAACCUAACCUUCACUGAAUCUCGCAUUAGUGACCAAUUCCUAUGUAUCACUACCGUAAAGAUUCAUUUCACGGCGUUUCGCCAGAAUUCAUAUCAAGCUCUCUCGGGCCGCGCAUACCGUGCCAAUUAUUCUCCGCACGGAAGUUCCACGGCUUGGCGUGAGAGAUUGAUGCGAGAGUCGAUGCACUCCACGCUUAUGUUUUAUUCAUACCUUUCACCAGGUUCGAUAAGAAAAUUAUAUUUAAAAGACGGACGCAAACUGAUGUCGCGGAAAAAGAGAAAAUCAAUUCGAUACUUGUCACUCAUGGAAAGUAAUAUAUAUAGAUAUUAUUAUUGGUUUUUGAUUUGCUACUUUGAUUGCUUUUGUGUUUCUGUGAUUAUAUUCUAAUAUAUAUACAUAUAAAAACUUGAAGAAAACUUAGGGCUACUUAAUAACAUUUUCAUUUCAUUAUUCAAUAGGUUUUUAAAGUGUUAAAAUAUAAGGAGGAAGUAUAUAUAUUGAAAUUCAAAAGGAAAAUCUUUGCUCUAUAUCCUUAUUAUUCUAUAGAUUUGCACAAAACUUCCACAGAAUGAAAAUAAAUGGCGCACAGUGGAAAACGGAGAAUGCAUCCUAUGUAAUUUAUGCAAGACCCAGAGAAGUAAUUAAGUGAUUGUAGGACUUUGCCAUUAUUUACAAGCAUUAUUCACCACGGAAUGGACGUUGAAACUGUAAUUUUCGCGACGAAGGCGUGUUCCACGCCUCGAUUCCGUUCUCCGCGUGAAAAAACCCUUGUACAAGCUCUAUAUUUAUCAACACGCCGGAUACUUUCGACGUUGGAGUCCAAACCGACCCUCGACAUUCUUAAGAACUGGAGGAUGCGUGUAGUUUCGAAAGAGACACGUGGAGGUUAAAAAUUAAUUAAUAUUCAGGUACUUUUGAAGAAAUGGAUUAUAUUUAUCACUUUAAAACCUCUGAAUCAGAAAGCUGUAAUUAUCAAUCAUUAAUUUCAUUUACCAAAUUAUUUCAAUAUGAAUCAAUAGGGAAAUUUGCAAGAAAAGAACAUAAAGUGCUGAGAAGAUCGCAGUUAAAUAUGAAUUUGAGGAAACCAUAAAUUGACAAAACGAAUAAGUUAUAUCGAAAGUUAUAAUAAUGAGACAGAGGUGAAAAUUUCACCUGAGAGUUGUGGACGAUCGAUUCGAUCGUGGUUAAGAAUCAUAUGAUUCUUUUCCCGUUUUACGCCUGGCGCCAGGCCGAAGUAGGCCAUCGUGCCAGAGAGUAGCACGCGGAAUACUCGUUGAAGAUCAUUAAUUCAUAGAAUAUGGUUUGCAUACAAUUUCGUUUCUUGUGAUAAUUUUACAAAUACUAAAUUAUAUUAAUAAGACAUAAGAUAUAAGAUAUAAAAUUUUUGUUAUUUUCAAUAGAUAUAUGAUAUUUA